CGAACGAGGGGAAGUGAAACAUCUCAGUACCCUUAGGAAAAGAAAUCAAUUGAGAUUCCCUCAGUAGCGGCGAGCGAACGGGGAUCAGCCCAUUAAGUUAUGUGUGUUUUAGUGGAACGCUCUGGGAAGUGCGAACGUAGAGGGUGAUAUUCCCGUACACGAAAGGGCACACAUAAUGAUGACGAGUAGGGCGAGGCACGUGAAACCUUGUCUGAAUAUGGGGGGACCAUCCUCCAAGGCUAAAUACUCCUGACUGACCGAUAGUGAACCAGUACCGUGAGGGAAAGGCGAAAAGAACCCCUGUGAGGGGAGUGAAAUAGAUCCUGAAACCGCAUGCAUACAAGCAGUGGGAGCACCUUCGUGGUGUGACUGCGUACCUUUUGUAUAAUGGGUCAGCGACUUAUAUUCAGUAGCGAGGUUAACCGUAUAGGGGAGCCGUAGAGAAAUCGAGUCUUAAUAGGGCGUUUAGUUGCUGGGUAUAGACCCGAAACCAGGCGAUCUAUCCAUGAGCAGGUUGAAGGUUGGGUAACACUAACUGGAGGACCGAACCCACUGUCGUUGAAAAGCCAGGGGAUGACUUGUGGAUAGGGGUGAAAGGCUAAUCAAGCCUGGUGAUAGCUGGUUCUCCCCGAAAGCUAUUUAGGUAGCGCCUCGGACGAAUACCAUAGGGGGUAGAGCACUGUUUCGGCUAGGGGGUCAUCCCGACUUACCAAACCGAUGCAAACUCCGAAUACCUAUGAGUACUAUCCGGGAGACAGACUGCGGGUGCUAACGUCCGUAGUCAAGAGGAAAACAAUCCAGACCGCCAGCUAAGGCCCCAAAAUCAUAGUUAAGUGGGAAACGAUGUGGGAAGGCAUAGACAGCUAGGAGGUUGGCUUAGAAGCAGCCACCCUUUAAAGAAAGCGUAAUAGCUCACUAGUCGAGUCGGCCUGCGCGGAAGAUGUAACGGGGCUAAAACUAUGUGCCGAAGCUGCGGAUGUAUACUUUGUAUACGUGGUAGGGGAGCGUUCUGUAAGCCGAUGAAGGUGUGUUGAGAAGCAUGCUGGAGGUAUCAGAAGUGCGAAUGCUGACGUGAGUAACGACAAAACGGGUGAAAAACCCGUUCGCCGAAAGACCAAGGGUUCCAGUCCAACGUUAAUCGGGGCUGGGUGAGUCGACCCCUAAGGCGAGGCCGAAAGGCGUAGUCGAUGGGAAAAUGGUUAAUAUUCCAUUACUUCUGUGUAAUGCGAUGAGAGGACGGAGAAGGCUAAAUCAGCCUGGCGUUGGUUGUCCAGGUGAAAGGAUGUAGGCAUGUAUCUUAGGCAAAUCCGGGGUACUCUAUGCUGAGAUCUGAUAGCAAGCUGUACUUGUACAGCGAAGUGGUUGAUGCCAUGCUUCCAGGAAAAGUCUCUAAGCUUCAGUUACACAGGAAUCGUACCCGAAACCGACACAGGUGGUCAGGUCGAGUAGACCAAGGCGCUUGAGAGAACUCUGCUGAAGGAACUAGGCAAAAUGGUACCGUAACUUCGGGAGAAGGUACGCUGUUGUUGGUGAUGGAACUCGCUUCCUGAGCUGACGACAGCCGCAGAAACCAGGCCGCUGCAACUGUUUAUUAAAAACAUAGCACUCUGCAAACACGAAAGUGGACGUAUAGGGUGUGAUGCCUGCCCGGUGCUGGAAGGUUAAUUGAUGGGGUUAGCGUAAGCGAAGCUCUUGAUCGAAGCCCCAGUAAACGGCGGCCGUAACUAUAACGGUCCUAAGGUAGCGAAAUUCCUUGUCGGGUAAGUUCCGACCUGCACGAAUGGCAUAAUGAUGGCGGCGCUGUCUCCAGCAGAGGCUCAGUGAAAUCGAAAUCGCUGUGAAGAUGCAGUGUACCCGCGGCUAGACGGAAAGACCCCGUGAACCUUUACUGCAGCUUGACACUGAACUUUGACCUUACUUGUGUAGGAUAGGUGGGAGGCUUUGAAGCUGGAACGCUAGUUCCAGUGGAGCCGUCCUUGAAAUACCACCCUGGUAAUGUUGAGGUUCUAACUCUGUCCCGUGAUCCGGGACGAGGACCGUGUCUGGUGGGUAGUUUGACUGGGGCGGUCUCCUCCUAAAGAGUAACGGAGGAGUACGAAGGUGCGCUCAGCGUGGUCGGAAAUCACGCGUAGAGUAUAAAGGCAAAAGCGCGCUUAACUGCGAGACCCACAAGUCGAGCAGGUACGAAAGUAGGUCUUAGUGAUCCGGUGGUUCUGUAUGGAAGGGCCAUCGCUCAACGGAUAAAAGGUACUCUGGGGAUAACAGGCUGAUACCGCCCAAGAGUUCAUAUCGACGGCGGUGUUUGGCACCUCGAUGUCGGCUCAUCUCAUCCUGGGGCUGAAGCAGGUCCCAAGGGUAUGGCUGUUCGCCAUUUAAAGAGGUACGCGAGCUGGGUUUAGAACGUCGUGAGACAGUUCGGUCCCUAUCUACCGUGGGCGCUGGAAAUUUGAGAGGAUCUGCUCCUAGUACGAGAGGACCAGAGUGGACGAACCUCUGGUGUACCGGUUGUGACGCCAGUCGCAUCGCCGGGUAGCUAUGUUCGGAAGGGAUAACCGCUGAAAGCAUCUAAGCGGGAAGCCUACCUCAAGAUAAGAUUUCCCUAGGACUUUAUGUCCUCUAAAGAGCCGUUCGAGACUAGGACGUUGAUAGGUUGGAUGUGGAAGCAUAGUGAUAUGUGAAGCUGACCAAUACUAAUUGCUCGUGAGGCUUGACUAU
rnacentral:rRNA from 1 species